UACGGGGGGGGCAAACGUUGUUCGGAAUUACUGGGCGUAAAGGGCUCGUAGGCGGCCAACUAAGUCGGAUGUGAAAUCCCCAGGCUUAACCUGGGAAUGGCAUUUGGGACUGCAAGGCUUGAGUGCGGCAGAGGAGACUGGAAUUCCCGGUGUAGCAGUGAAAUGCGUAGAUAUCGGGAGGAAUACCGAUGGCGAAGGCAGGUCUCUGGGCUGACACUGACGCUCAUGCACGAAAGCGUGGGGAGCAAACAGG
rnacentral:rRNA from 1 species